rnacentral:rRNA from 1 species
CCCUGAGAGCCAUGCCGCGUGUAUGAAGAAGGCUCUUCGGGUUGUAAAGUACUUUCAGCGAGAGGGGGCUUCCAUAAUAACCUCAGAGAUUGAAGUUACCCGGAAAAAGGCAUCGGGUAAAUUCUUUGCAGCAGCCGCGGUAAUACGGAGGGGGGAAGGGUUAAUCGGAAUUACUGGGGGUUUUCCACCUAAAAGAGGGGGCUGUCAAGUCGGAAGGGAAAUCCCCGGGCUCAACCUGGGAACUGCAUUCCAAACUGGGAGGCUAGGUCUUGUAAAGGGGGGUAGAAUUCCAGGUGUAGCGGUGAAAUGCGUAAAGAUCUGGAGGA